GCAGCAGGCGCGCAAAUUACCCACUCCCGGCACGGGGAGGUAGUGACGAAAAAUAACGAUACGGGACUCAUCCGAGGCCCCGUAAUCGGAAUGAGUAUACUCUAAAUCCUUAUACGAGUAUCAAUUGGAGGGCAAGUCUGGUGCCAGCAGCCGCGGUAAUUCCAGCUCCAAUAGCGUAUAUUAAAGUUGUUGCGGUUAAAAAGCUCGUAGUUGGAUCUGUGUCCCGCACCGUCGGUUCACCGCCUGUCGGUGUUCAACUGGCGUGUAUGCGGGACGUCCUGCCGGUGGCGGUCCGGUUCCCCGUCGGUUCGUAGGGGUCGUCCUUGCCUUGCUUGCGUCGUCCCCGAAGGCCGGCGCGGUGUUUCCGGCCGCCUUUUCGAUCCCGUCGCGGUGCUCUUCACCGAGUGUCGAGGCGGGCCGGCACGUUUACUUUGAACAAAUUAGAGUGCUUUAAGCAGGCCCUGUCCCGCCUGUAUGUUGUGUGCAUGGAAUAAUGGAAUAGGACCUCGGUUCUAUUUUGUUGGUUUUCGGAAUCUGAGGUAAUGAUCAAUGGGGACAGGCGGGGGCAUUCGUAUUGCGACGUUAGAGGUGAAAUUCUUGGAUCGUCGCAAGACGGACCGAAGCGAAAGCAUUUGCCAAGUAUGUUCUCGUCGAUCAAGAACGAAAGUUAGAGGUUCGAAGGCGAUCAGAUACCGCCCUAGUUCUAACCAUAAACUAUGCCUGCCAGCGAUCCGCCGAAGUUCCUCCGAUGACUCGGCGGGCAGCUUCCGGGAAACCAGAGCUUUUGGGUUCCGGGGGAAGUAUGGUUGCAAAGCUGAAACUUAAAGGAAUUGACGGAAGGGCACCACCAGGAGUGGAGCCUGCGGCUUAAUUUGACUCAACACGGGAAAACUCACCAGGCCCGGACACCGGAAGGAUUGACAGAUUGAGAGCUCUUUCUUGAUUCGGUGGGUGGUGGUGCAUGGCCGUUCUUAGUKGGUGGAGCGAUUUGUCUGGUUAAUUCCGAUAACGAACGAGACUCUAGCCUACUAACUAGGCGUACCCGGUAUCCACAAUCGUGCUACCGGCGAUCAAAUUUCUUCUUAGAGGGACAGGCGGCUUCUAGCCGCACGAGACUGAGCAAUAACAGGUCUGUGAUGCCCUUAGAUGUCCUGGGCCGCACGCGCGCUACACUGAAGGAAUCAGCGUGUCUUCCCUGUCCGAAAGGACCGGGUAACCCGCUGAACCUCCUUUGUGCUAGGGAUUGGGGCUUGCAAUUGUUCCCCAUGAACGAGGAAUUCCCAGUAAGCGCGAGUCAUAAGCUCGCGUUGAUUACGUCCCUGCCCUUUGUACACACCGCCCGUCGCUACUACCGAUUGAAUGAUUUAGUGAGGUCUUCGGACCGGUGCGCGGAGGCCGCUUCGCGGUCUCCGAUGUUGCUGGAAAGAUGACCAAACUUGAUCAUUUAGAGGAAGUAAAAGUCGUAACAAGGUUUCCGUAGGUGAA
rnacentral:rRNA from 1 species